AGCUUUAUAGUUUAUUCAAAACAUAAAUUUUGUAAAUUUAAAUAAAAUUUUAUUAAUUUUAAAGCUU
rnacentral:tRNA from 1 species